GCAUUUAUGUUUAUUAUGUUGUAUAUAUGUGCAUAUCUGUUUGCAUGCAUCAUACUGUCAUCAUGUUGGAUUCUGUACAGGUUAGUUCCUCUGAUUUGGGGUGCGUGUUCUGAGUGAGGCCCAAUACCCAGGCCUGAGUAUACACUUAGGAUUAGCGUGGUCUCAUGUUUCUUCACAUGUUGUACGACAUGAUGAGGAGACGUGUCACCACAGCCGGACGAGGUUCAUUUGAG
rnacentral:lncRNA from 1 species